rnacentral:rRNA from 1 species
AUGAACGCUGGCGGCGUGCCUAAUACAUGCAAGUCGAGCGAACAGACGAGGAGCUUGCUCCUCUGACGUUAGCGGCGGACGGGUGAGUAACACGUGGAUAACCUACCUAUAAGACUGGGAUAACUUCGGGAAACCGGAGCUAAUACCGGAUAAUAUAUUGAACCGCAUGGUUCAAUAGUGAAAGACGGUUUUGCUGUCACUUAUAGAUGGAUCCGCGCCGCAUUAGCUAGUUGGUAAGGUAACGGCUUACCAAGGCAACGAUGCGUAGCCGACCUGAGAGGGUGAUCGGCCACACUGGAACUGAGACACGGUCCAGACUCCUACGGGAGGCAGCAGUAGGGAAUCUUCCGCAAUGGGCGAAAGCCUGACGGAGCAACGCCGCGUGAGUGAUGAAGGUCUUCGGAUUGUAAAACUCUGUUAUUAGGGAAGAACAAAUGUGUAAGUAACUAUGCACGUCUUGACGGUACCUAAUCAGAAAGCCACGGCUAACUACGUG